AAGCGAAUUUCGCGCAUUGAUUGUCACUUGAUAAGGGCCGAAACCGUCGGUCGAAACGUUGUGACGUGAUAUUAUUGUAUGGCCAGUUUGAUUGAUAAUAAACAAGAUUCUAUUUAUAUUUUAUUUAUAUUAUUAUAUUCUUUAUAUCAUAUAUAUAUAUAUAUAUAUCAUAUGUUUCAUACAUUUAAAUAUUUUAGAAUAUUUAGUACGGGCGACUAUCGACAUAUCUUUUGUACUCCUUUAAAUACGUCAUUGACGUGAUUUCCACUGCGCAUGACCGAAAAUCGCGGCCCGGCUGUGAAUUUCACACGGCAAAUGCGCACGCAGCGCCGUACUGAUUCGUCCGCCUCCAACAACUGCCAUCACAAUGUUGUUUUUUUUGUGUCUCUUGACACGCGUCAUCAACCGUACACCGAUCAUUUUCGUGGAAAAAAUGUUUAUCGGGAUCGAGUUCUUCUGAUGUUGUUAUUAUUAUAUCCCUCUCGCUCGCUCUCCUAGUUGUUAUUGCCGUCCAGGAAUACCAGGUUUAAGCCGCUGCCAACAGGCGGCAACAUAUACCAACACAAGCGCGCGGCCGUGUUGUACGUGAGCAUUUGUAAUUGUGAAUACUGUUGCAGCUUUUAUGACUGUACGUGUGUGCAAUCUUUGCUGUGAUUGGUUCGUUGCAGUGAUUAUAUCGAUAUUGCGAUAAUCGUUUUACGUUGUAAAGGAAUUUCAAAUAACCGACAGUAACGAUACGCGUCGUGAGUGUCGUGACGAGUAAACGCGGGUUCCAAUCGUUCCGCAUUUUCCGCGCUUAUUAUCGCGUAAAUCUGUAAUUUACUGCAAAAAUACUUGUUGCCAGUGUCGUGCAAAAAACUAGGCAUUUGUUACAAAGUGUCAAGUAUCAUGUACGCGCGUGUUUGCACGCCAAUAUCGCGAUUUCGGUAGCGACGAUUUCAAAGACUCGAAAUCUUUUUCGCGCAAUUCGCGCCGCCAUUUUCUCGUCAAGUUGCGGCGAAAUUAUAAUUAGUACAUUGUGUCAUUAUUAGUGAUAAUCCCCUUCUGUGUCAAUCCAACGUUGAACAAAAUCGUCAUCGCACACGUUGUGUUACUCUUUUCACCGAAUCGGAGCGGAGAUGCACUCGCAGUGCGAAUCACGUUCUCAUCGCGUAUUUCUAUCAGGUUUUCGAGGUAAGUGCGCUAAGCGCUAUUAUCAUAGCACUAAUAUAGUAGCACUAGUACAACUGGUUAUUUGUGUCAACAUGACAUUAUUCAGAUCUGUUUUGAUUUUACAAGAGAUGACUGAUGCCAUUUAAAUUUCUUGAUGCAAUGUUUCAUAAGUUGUUAUUUGUUAUACGAGAUGCGCGUAUCAAUAGGUCUGUUCUUUUCAGCUGCACUGCUGAACUGGUGCAAUAGGUUAGAGUGAGACAAGUAUAUUUUUUCUCACUCUAACUUAUUGCAUUGAUUUUUGUCUAAAUGUAGGUGUAAAAAGCAGGCCGGAUACUUUGCCUUUGGAAUCACUACGGGGAUACGAUCGGGCAUCAUUAUUUCAUUAUUUACGUAGCGUGCAGUUAGAUCAAAUGUGAGAAAAGUUUACGUUCGUAAUAUACGGAUUGUCUCUGAACUCGAUGAACCGACGAAAUUGCCAGAGAAUCCGUGGUUUAAUACGCGGGUAACACGAUACGUAAGGAGGUUUUUAUCGUUUUUGCGUUUAAUAAAAUAUUCAAAAGAUAUGCGAACAUUUCGAGUUCAAAUAGCAAGAAAACAUGAUACGAGUUGGUGGCAAACGAAUCUGUUUGAACAGAGUCAAUAUAGUAGAACGUUUUAUCGAUGUUAUCGAUAAGUGUCGAUAUAGUAGUACGCUUUACCGCUUCAAAGUAACAGUCGGUACAUUUUGUAAAAAGAUUCGAGUAGUCAUGUCAUCUUCUGGAAUCGUGUUCUUCUAUUGCUCGAGAAGCUAAGUAACAGAUAAGUUAAACUGGAGGAAUUGAACGCUGAAAUAAUUAACCUCCUUAAUGAGUAUCCAGGUAACAAUCCACAGAUUCUCGGGAAUCGACGUCCAGUUAGUUCGUCCAUUUCAACGUAACUUUUCUUGUUGCACUUAAUUGAAGGCUACAUUAAUAAUAAAAAUAAGUGUAAUUAUAUAUAUUUUGUGCAUUUUUAUCGUGUUUCAUGAUUCUUUAGAUUAAAUACUACAUUCUUGAAAUUAAAAUUACUAGAUUUUAUGUGGAAAACAUAUAUAUUUUCGGUAUUUUAAUCCAGCGAAGAGCAUCAUAUGAUUUCGUCGUGUAUCCUUUUAGUAACUACAAACAAAUAAAUCUAUACAUAUUUUCUGCAUUGUUAUUACAUUUUACUGUUGCGGGAGAUAUAUUCAAAUAUUUUUAUUUUAUAUUAUCAUUUUAUUUUAGAUACAUUAGACAUGAAUUUAUCUCAUUAAGAGAGGAAAACUACAAUUACAAUUGCAUUUUAAUGAAAUCACACCACUUUUUUAUUUCGUGGAGAUUUAACUGAUUUUCUUCGCUUUUAUGAUAUUGUUAUACUGUAUAGAAGGUAGAAAUGAUUUAUGACAGACAUUCAUAACGUCUAUCGCUUUGUUGAACUGGCGUUGCAACUGUUAUAACUACUGUUAUUAUGUCAUUAUAAUUAUGAUAUUUUCUAUAGGUACUCAUAUGGGAAUCUAAAGUUUUUUUUUGUUUUUACUGCAAAAGUCGGUUGGAUAAAAAUUACUGUCACAUAAUUUAUGCUGUCAAAUAUCUAUUUAACGAUUAGAUUGACAAUGAGUGAUGAUAUAAACCUAUUUGCAAUUUGCGUAACAAUAUUAUAAGUAUACACGCUACUUAAUGAGUAUAAUUAUCCUAAGUAAUCUACAUAAGUAUUAUCUACAUUGUAGUUUCAAUCUCCUUGGGGUUACAAAGUAUAUUUAUUUUAGCAUUAUUUUAUGCAUUUUAAUAAUUAUCUUAUUUAAUUAUAGCUGAAUUUAUCCUGGCUAUUUCUCUUGUGCAUUCUAUAGUAAUUCUACUUCGUUAUCGGACUUGCAGUGUGUCUUUUACAAUUAUUUAUUGAAUUGGCUAACGUUAUAGUUAUUAUCGCAGGUUAUUUUUAUGGUGUCACUAUAUGGUGUCGCGUAUUAUCAUUAGAAAUUCGUGAAAUUGGUCAUUCUUUGUAAAUUCUUCUAAUAAUCAAUGGAUAAUUGUAUCUACAUAUCUGUGAACUCCUUUUCACACAAAUAUAUAUACUUUUAUUGCUCAUUAAUUAUUUAUUUCACAAACUAUAACAGUGAACAUCAUUUAUUUCGGUAAUGGAGUAAAACUAUAAUCCUAUUUUCAAGUUUUAGCAUUUUAUUCGUG
rnacentral:lncRNA from 1 species